rnacentral:rRNA from 1 species
UCUACGGAUGAAAGCGGGGGACCUUCGGGCCUCGCGCUAUAGGGUUGGCCGAUGGCUGAUUAGCUAGUUGGUGGGGUAAAGGCCUACCAAGGCGACGAUCAGUAGCUGGUCUGAGAGGACGACCAGCCACACUGGGACUGAGACACGGCCCAGACUCCUACGGGAGGCAGCAGUGGGGAAUUUUGGACAAUGGGCGAAAGCCUGAUCCAGCAAUGCCGCGUGUGUGAAGAAGGCCUUCGGGUUGUAAAGCACUUUUGUCCGGAAAGAAAUCCUUGGCCCUAAUACGGUCGGGGGAUGACGGUACCGGAAGAAUAAGCACCGGCUAACUACGUGCCAGCAGCCGCGGUAAUACGUAGGGUGCGAGCGUUAAUCGGAAUUACUGGGCGUAAAGCGUGCGCAGGCGGUUUGCUAAGACCGAUGUGAAAUCCCCGGGCUCAACCUGGGAACUGCAUUGGUGACUGGCAGGCUAGAGUAUGGCAGAGGGGGGUAGAAUUCCACGUGUAGCAGUGAAAUGCGUAGAGAUGUGGAGGAAUACCGAUGGCGAAGGCAGCCCCCUGGGCCAAUACUGACGCUCAU